rnacentral:rRNA from 1 species
AUGAGCAGCCAACUGGUGCUGCCGCUGCCGGCUGCGCCAGCAGCGAAACCUCCGUCUAUCCCCUCCACCGCCACUACCACCACCCUUCCUACUGCUGCCGACGGAACCACCACUAUAUCCUCGCUCGGCCAAGACCAGCUCCUCGAGAUUUUCCUCCGCCUGCCGAGCUUGCCGGCCCUCGUCCGUGCCGCGCUCACUUGCCGCUCGUGGCUCGACGCCAUCCGCUCCUCCCGGUCCUUCCGCAGCCUCUUCCGUGCCCUCCACCUGGCACCCCUCAUCGGGAUCUUCCUCCAAAUCGAGGGCGGCACAGCCCCCUCCUUCGCCCCCGUCCGCCGCUCAGAUCCCGUCGUCACCGCUGCACUCCGCCGCGGCGACUUCUUCCUCACCUCUCUCCCUGCGGGCUGCUGGAGCAUCAUGGACUGCCGCGACGGUUACAUCCUCCUGUCGAACAUGGUGUCUGUCGCUGUCGUGAACCCCAUGACCUGGGCCGUGGAUAUCAUCCCGAUGCCCGAGCAUGCUAUGGAAGGGACAUCAUCCUGGUUCCAUCUGCUGUCUUCAGAGGAGAACCCCUGGUCAUUCCGCGUGGUCUGUGUGUGCGCGCACGUGUCUAGGGUUCGUGCGGCCGUAUUCUCGUCGGAAACGGAGGAUUGGGUGAUCCACCCCUGGACGGAAAUCGAUGGUGUAAUCUACCUGAAUGACAGUGGUUUCACGCUGGUGGGUGGUUCUUUUUAUCGGCCUCUCUAUGGCAAAGGAUGUGUGAUCAGGAUAAACACAGCCACCAUGGAUGUCUCCUCUCUGUAUCUCCCCUCGCAGGCAAAGGAAGGUGUUCCCAAGGUUGGUGAUACCGAGGAUGGAAAACUCUGCAUGGUCUAUGCAACUGAAGAUUUCCUUCUCCUUGUUUGGAUCCGCAGCGGGGACGGUGAUGGAGUUGAGAGUUGGGUGCUGCAAGACAUUAUCUGUUUGAGGGCAGAAAUGGAUCAGAUCACUACUACACCCUGGCAGUGGGAGGGCCAAGUCGAAGUUGUGCAAGUUAGGAGGACUGAACAUGAGGUUGAAGGAUCCUGCAGCUGUUUGCUGAAGUCCAGUAACUCCACCAAGCAGAAGCGCAAGUCCUCGAGCCUGAAGGAGACGAGCCCCGUCGGCCUGGCCAUGGAUUUCAACAGUGUGGACGUGGUGAGGCAGCCGCUGUCGCCCUUGCAGCCAAAGUCUCCAGACUGCAGGGUGCACAAGAAGUGA